AACCCCGUUUGCCAGUACGGUGUAAAACGUCGUUACCGCAGAGGUCUGAAUGCUAAAACAAACUCUGGAGCUGCUCUUUUCACGUUUAUGAAGAGGUUCGGAUGCUAAACAAACUCUGGAGUUGUUUUUUUGUCGAACAGCAGUGAGACUCGACGCUGAACACGCCUGCGGCGCGAAGGUUUACUGGUUCAGCCGCUGCAGCCUGGACAGAAACACCAGCUCUCACCUGACAAACCAAACAGGUGUCACCACUUCGUCCACGACAUCGUCCACGAUCGCAGAGACAUCGUCCACGAUCGCAGAGACAUGGUCCAUGAUCGGAGAGACAUUGUUGAGGAUGAGGGAGACAUCGUCCACGAUCAGAGACGUUGUCCAUGAUCGCAGAGACCUUGUCAAAGAUGAGAGAGACGUUGUCCAUGAUCAGAGACAUUGUCCCAUGCUUCGUAGAGACCUUGCGAUAGAAUCGGCGGAGACGGGGGUCACCGAUUUGACGGCACUGCCCGCGAUCAAGGAGACAUUGUUGAUGGUCACAGAGACAGCGUCUAUGAUCUCAGAGACAUCGUCCACGAUCACAAAGACAUCGUCCAUGAUCACAGAGACUUUGUCCAUAAUCUCAGAGACAUUGUCCGCGAUCACAGAGACGUAGUCCACGAUCACAGAGAGUCUUUGUACAAUGAGAAAGCUCUUUGAGACCAGGACAGAGGCCUCCAGGUGUCACCACUUUGUCCACGACAUCGUCCACGAUCGCAGAGACAUGGUCCAUGAUCGGAGAGACAUUGUUGAGGAUGAGGGAGACAUCGUCCACGAUCAGAGACGUUGUCCAUGAUCGCAGAGACCUUGUCAAAGAUGAGAGAGACGUUGUCCAUGAUCAGAGACAUUGUCCCAUGCUUCGUAGAGACCUUGCGAUAGAAUCGGCGGAGACGGGGGUCACCGAUUUGACGGCACUGCCCGCGAUCAUGGAGACAUUGUUGAUGGUCACAGAGACAGCGUCUAUGAUCUCAGAGACAUCGUCCACGAUCACAAAGACAUUGUCCAUGAUCACAGAGACUUUGUCCAUAAUCUCAGAGACAUUGUCCGCGAUCACAGAGACAUAGUCCACGAUCACAAAGAGUCUUUGUACAAUGAGGAAGUUCCUUGAGACCAGGACAGAGGCCUCCAGGAUUCAAACGUCAGCCAUUAAAUCAGAGAGAAGAGGCAGAUGUGAAGACAUUUCCAGAAGGUCUUCAGCUGCUGUCGUCCUCUCCUUCUGCAGAGACGAAGGAAGACGAAGGAACUAUCUUAACUCGCUUUUCCACAGACUCACACCUCUACACAGUGUUGGUGGGUUAGGUUAGAUUUUCAUAUUAGUAUUUUGCAAAUUCAAACUGCAAUAUCACUACUCAAAUCCAAUGUAUUACUGUGUACAUUGUCCUAUUUAUACUGGCCAUAUUGUGUAUAGUUUUAUACGUUGUUACAUACGGUCUUGUAUAUAUAAUGCCCUUUUCUAUUUUUGCUGGUGCAAUACUGAAUUCCCCCGUUGUGGGACUGUGAUAAAGUAUCAUCUUACUCAAAUAAAUACUUGUGAAUACUGAAUAUUUUGCCGGUCUGUUUAAUGUCGUAUGCAAGUGAAUACUUUCAGCCAGAGGUUGAGGUAAGGGUUACGGUUUUUAGCAAAUGAUUUUGU